AAAAAAAAAAAAAAUCCUUUUUAGAGGAAGAUGAACAGAUGGACCCAAGGCUAAGAUCGAGGUGACAGGUGAGUGCUCUGGAACUCCAAGGACCCUUGGUGGGAAUGCCCUCCUAGCCUGACACGGGGUCCACUGACACCUGCCGUCACUCAGCCUUUCCCUAGGAGGGAGGCUCUUCUCGGAGCCACCCUCCUGAGCAGCGGGAAAUCCCAUGUGAACAACACACAUGGCCAGAUGCCUUUAUGGCUACUUCCCCUCUCAAGUAAAUGUAUUUCUUUAAGAGAAAUAAAGAAAGCACAUAAGGAGACCCUGUCCUUCACUUACAGGGUUUCUCACCCCCCACCAGGGCACACAGCCCCAGGAUGAGGAGCACUGCCAGGAGCUGGGCGUCUCGUGGUCCCAUGUCCAGCUCAGCUGCACCCCAGGAGGGCUUGCAGAAUGCAUGGCGCCCACUGCCGGGAACUUCCAUCUCUACUCCACUUCUGCCACUCCUGCCGCCCUCCUGUGACCACACUCAGAACUUGAGCUCUACCUCUGAAAGACGGUAUGCAAAUGUCCUUUCUGCCCAGGAUGUCCUAAUCUCCUAACAUUCUCCCUGCCACCACACCUUUGUCUCAAUCCUGAAGCCCUCCAAUCCCCUACCUCCGCGUGAGCCCCCUCCUGUCUGUCCUUCCUUCUUGCUUCUCCAGCCUGAUUUCCAUGGUGCUGUCUUCACCCACCGUCUUCCUCACUGCUGUGUCGCACUGUCUCUGUGCCUACGCUAUCUGCCCAGCAUGGCCGACACUUGCCUUGGAUUGUUGUCACUCUCAAUGCACGAUCUCAGCACCAUCCAGGCACUCAGGGCUGGCACCCUCCUUUCUGUCUAUCCUUCUCCACCCCUGCUCACUUCCAUUCUGCACACUUUGGGGAUGAUACUGUCCAUCAUUUCACAUAGAAAGUCAACAAAUGGGAACCACCUCAAAUAUCACCCAUGUGGACCUCCGCUUUUGACUAUGGAGUCAUGGCUACGAGGCUAGCCUCCCACCAUGAGGCUGAACUCUAAAACUACAUGAGUAACUGCUCAACUGCAGUUGCUGAGCAGCAGGCAGGGCCAGACAGCGAUCCCUGAGAGAAGGGAAACAAUAGGGGGAGUCCCACGGCUGCCUUGGUUUCCUGGAGACACUCUCCAGACUACAUCACAGGGAGGGGAACCCGAAUAGUACCGCAGUUCCACUGGGCUGAGGACACAGAGGCCGGAACUAGAAGCUUCUGAGGCAGGCGGGUUAUCAGGGUAAGAGAAGGGAGCUCCAGAAAUAUAAAUGGGGGUCCUUUAAGCUUUUCUUCAAAUACUGUGCUGUUCAUGCCCACAAGGCCAGGCUAAACAGCUCCUGGGGACAGAACAGUCACUGGGGAGGCUGAACUGAAUGACUAGUGCAGGGUUCCUGGGGCCAGAAAGCAUCUGAACUCUGAGCAGCCAGAGGUGUUGACCACUUCAAACAUUCAGUAAAGGCCAUGCCGUAAAAGGAAGCCUGAUCUUUCUAGAGGAAAGCUACUCUAAACCCAUUUGAACAAAACUUUAAAACGAGUCUUGCAAGAAUCAAGUUAACCUCCAACUAAAUUCACUGCUUGUGUUGGUUCACUCAGGUUGCUAUAACAAAAUACUACAGAUUGCGUGACUUAACCAACAGAAAUGUACUUUCUCACAAUUCGGGUGCCCAGAAGUCCAAGAUAGGGUGUCAGCACAUCUGGUUUCUACUGAGGCCUCUUUCUGCUUGCAGAUGGCUGUGUUUUCCCAUAUCUCACAUGGUCUUUCCUCUGUGCACGCACAUCCCUGGUGUCUCUCAUCUUAUAAGGACACCAGUCAGAUUGAACCAGGGCCCACCCUAAGAGCCUCAUUUUAACUUGAUUAUCCCUUUUAAGACACUGUCUCCAAAUGUAGUCACAUUCUUAGGUAAUGGAAUUUAAGGCUUCAUAUAUGAAUUUGGGAGGAAUAAUUCAACUGAUGACACUACCUGAGAGAGCAAAGCUCCCAACACUUUACUAAUGAAGACAGUGAAACCUAAAUACACAACGUAACAUCCCUAAUGUCUAACAGAAAAUCAGAAGUUUACUAGAUGUGUGGAGAGAACUGGGAAACAUGGCCCACACCCAUUAGAAAAAUCUGUGAACAAAAACAGACUUAGACAUGGCAUAAAAUGUUCAGAUUGAAAGAAGAACGUAAUAUAAUAAAGGAACGAAAAGAAAUCUCGAUAGAUGGAAACUAAAAAUUAAGCAGGUACAAAUUUUAGAAAUAAAAAAUACAACAUCUGAAAUGAAAAAUACACUGUGUGGGUUUUAGAUUAGAUACUCUUAGAUACUGCAGAGGAAUGGUCAGUUUACUUGAAUGAAGCCAGUGCAAGAUAAACUAUGCAAACUAGAGCAUAAAGUGAAAAAGGACUAAACAAAUAAACAGGAUUCCAAUGACCAUGAGACAGUGUCAAGCAGUCUGACAUACAUGUAAUUGAUGUACCAGUAGGAGAGGAGAGAAAAAAAAUAUUUUAAAGAAAUACUUGAUCAAGAAUGAGUAUUGAGUAAAUAUUCAUUAGAUUUUUCUGAAGUUGAAAAAUAUAAACCUACAAAUCUUAGAGGCUCAAAGAAUUUCAAGGAAAAUAAAUACAAAAAAAAAAAAAUUACAUCAAGGCACAGCAUGAUUCGACUGUUGAAAAUCCCGUGAUUUAAAAAAUUCUUAAAGCAGCUGGAGAAAAAGACUUCUAGGGUUUGAAUGUCCCUCCAAACUAAUGUCAAAACUUAAUCCCCAGUGUGGCUGUAUUGAGAGGUGGGGCUUUUAAGAGGUGAUUGAAUCCUGAGACCUCUGCUCUCAUGAAUGAAUUAAUCCACUCAUGAAUGAAUGGAUUCAUGGGAUGAUGGGCUCAUGGGUUAUCGUGGAAGGGGACCUGGUGGCUUUGUAAGAAGAGAGACCUGAGCUAGCACGUUGACACACCCUUGCCCUCUCCAUGGAAUGCCCUAGGCUGCCUUGGGACACGUCUGAGAGUCCCCACCAGCAAGAAGGCGCUCAAGAGACGCAGCCCCUCAACCUUGGACAUCCCAGUCUCCAGAACUGCAAAAUCGUUUGCCCAAACAACACAGCAAGCAAAUGGAGGAAAGAUCCAGAGUCAAGCCCAUGCCUCAUUCCUGUGCAUGUCCGAAGCCAUCCUAGCUGUGGCACAUGGUAGACUGAAUGAGAGGGAGUCAGUGGAGAAACAGGUAACUGACAUCCCAGGAGUCUGGGAGAUAGAAAUUUGCCACCUAGCGUUGCCCGUCACUCAAAUUACCUUUUGAAAUUCAUAAAAUAAUAUCUGGGCAUGGACAACAUGAAUGUAUGCAAGUAAAUGAGGCAAGCCUCUUCUCUUAAUCAGUUUCCUUGUCUGUAAAGGGGAGGUGCAGUGAAAACUUAUCAUACGCUCUCCAACGCAUCUCCUAAAAUCCAAGUGUGCUAAUAUCUCAUCUUUAUACUAUUAUGGGGGGAGAGUAUUUUAUUACUAAUAUUUACAUGCUGAAUGUUUCUGAGUGUCGAAGGGCAAGGCUGAGUGACUUACACAUUCAAUUUCUCUUCCCAGCAUCCCAGGAUUCCAGAGUUGUGUUGUGCUGAUGAAUAUAGUGGGUGAAGAGUAGAAUUUUUUAGAGCCCAGGACUAAAUUUAUCUACAUCAUAAAGAACUUGACCAAAGCUAAUAGAAGACAUAAACAGAUAAA